rnacentral:rRNA from 1 species
GGCUACACACGUGCUACAAUGGGUAGUACAGAGAGUUGCAAAGCCGUGAGGUGAAGCUAAUCUCAGAAAACUAUUCUUAGUUCGGAUUGUACUCUGCAACUCGAGUACAUGAAGUUGGAAUCGCUAGUAAUCGCGAAUCAGCAAUGUCGCGGUGAAUACGUUCUCGGGUCUUGUACACACCGCCCGUCACACCACGAGAGUUGGUUGCACCUGAAGUAGCAGGCCUAACCGUAAGGAGGGAUGCUCCGAGGGUGUGAUUAGCGAUUGGGGUGAAGUCGUAACAAGGUAUCCGUACGGGAACGU